AUACUUAUCUGGCAGGGGAGAUACCAUGAUCACGAAGGUGGUUUUCCAGGACGAGGUUUAUUUAUUGCGCUGUGGAUGUGCUGACUUGUGCAAUUUCUCCGAAUGUGGGUAACUCGACUGCAUAACUUGUGGUAGCAGGGAAUUGCGUUCGCGCUCUCUCAUG